rnacentral:rRNA from 1 species
AUUGAACGCUGGCGGCAGGCCUAACACAUGCAAGUCGAACGGUAACAGGAAGCAGCUUGCUGCUUUGCUGACGAGUGGCGGACGGGUGAGUAAUGUCUGGGAAACUGCCCGAUGGAGGGGGAUAACUACUGGAAACGGUAGCUAAUACCGCAUAACGUCGCAAGACCAAAGAGGGGGACCUUAGGGCCUCUUGCCAUCGGAUGUGCCCAGAUGGGAUUAGCUAGUAGGUGGGGUAACGGCUCACCUAGGCGACGAUCCCUAGCUGGUCUGAGAGGAUGACCAGCCACACUGGAACUGAGACACGGUCCAGACGCCUACGGGAGGCAGCAGUGGGGAAUAUUGCACAAUGGGCGCAAGCCUGAUGCAGCCAUGCCGCGUGUAUGAAGAAGGCCUUCGGGUUGUAAAGUACUUUCAGCGGGGAGGAAGGGAGUAAAGUUAAUACCGUUGCUCAUUGACGUUACCCGCAGAAGAAGCACCGGCUAACUCCGUG